UUGAAAAUAUCUCAGGUGGUCCUUGGUUUUCGUCUCAAGGGCUGAGAGGUCUGUUGUGAUGGCCCUUAAUGAGUCUAAGGGUGAAGUUUCAUCUUGUGGUGUCUCUUUCCUCCUACGGUGGAGAAGAACUUAAUAAGAUGGUCCAUCCUUAAAGAUCUAUGGAUUCCUGAAUGUUCUGGAGCACUUUCAGCAGGCAGAGUGGAUUUUUUUCUGCUGAGGUUCAACGCAUUCGUCUGGAAUAGCAAGAGGCAAGAGGGACUCCCACCAACACCUUGAAUUGAGAUACGGGCAAGCGUAAGGAUAAAAACAGAGAUUUAAUGAUGUGCCAAUCUUAACGCUUCGAGUCUCAUGAUGCCGAAGCAAAAUGUUGCAACAGAAUGUCAGUAAAAGGAAGCAUUCUCAGGACGGACAGAGAAAUGCUGUUGACGACCAGCGGUAAGCACGUAGAGAACCAACGGUGUGUUGACUGGCAUCGCCUUCAAUGGUAUAAACAAUAAAAAAACCCACAAUAACUAGACCACAAACCAUAACAUACAGAUCAUCAGUAAAAUGAGGCAUGGAAAAAAGAAGUAAACGAAUCAGACAAAACCAUUGGUUGGAGCAAACAAAUCAACAGUCUGGCUGUGAUGGGAGAGGAACAGCAGCCUGCGAUCUGCAAUCUUGAGCAGAUCUAGCUGCCAUGGCUUGCUACCCUCCUUCCAGGUUCUCGCUUAAGCCGAAGGAAUGAGGUCAAUGUUGUUCUCGGCUGCUGCUUCUCUCGGCUCCCGGUUCCACCCCCUCCAACACACUCCCCGCGAGGCUCCGUAGAUUGAUUCUUUUAUGGAAACGCUGGGCCCGAACUCAAGUCUGAAGCAGCCAAGGGGGAACAACCAUGGAUUUUUCCGGCAAUAAGAAAGCCAUGGCUCACCGCGUGACGGAUGGCUUUAUCUCUCAUCUACCCCCUACGAAGACCCAAUUCAACCCAACAUCUCAGUGGGAUGCGGAGGCUUUAAUUAAUUCACAGCACCCCCACUGCCUCUGGGGUGUGUUUGGAUAACCCAACAGUCUUCGCCCUGUGAUAAACAGCCUCC